GAGAUUUGGCUGGAGUUUGAGCAGCAGCAGAAUGGCGGCCAUGUGAUGCAGCUCCCAAUUAGCUAGAUGACAUGAUGGACAUAACUUCAAGGCGCCGCAGACUUAAGCCUCUUCGAGAUGCAGAAUACCACAUCAACUCGAGAACUGACAAGCCAUACCUUCAGCAGCAGUAUAUUAACAGAUUUAAAGGACGUGGAGUGUUCACUAAAGAAUUUAUUUGGAAAGGGGAUUUUGUGGUAGAAUAUAAUGGGAAGCUGCUUACACAGGAACAGGGAGAUCUGAAAGGAAAACAGUGUGCAGAAUCCAGAGUCUUUCUUUUUGAUUUCGAGUGGAGAGGACAA